rnacentral:rRNA from 1 species
AACGAACGCUGGCGGCAUGCCUAACACAUGCAAGUCGAACGAGACCUUCGGGUCUAGUGGCGCACGGGUGCGUAACGCGUGGGAAUCUGCCCUUGGGUUCGGAAUAACAGUUAGAAAUGACUGCUAAUACCGGAUAAUGUCUUCGGACCAAAGAUUUAUCGCCCAGGGAUGAGCCCCGCGUAGGAUUAGCUAGUUGGUGAGGUAAAGGCUCACCAAGGCGACGAUCCUUAGCUGGUCUGAGAGGAUGAUCAGCCACACUGGGACUGAGACACGGCCCAGACUCCUACGGGAGGCAGCAGUGGGAAUAUUGGACAAUGGGCGAAAGGCCUGAUCCAGCAAUGCCGCGUGAGUGAUGAAGGCCUUAGGGUUGUAAAGCUCUUUUACCCGGGAUGAUAAUGACAGUACCGGGAGAAUAAGCCCCGGCUAACUCCGUGCCAGCAGCCGCGGUAAU